UCCCUGAUGGUCUAGUGGUCAGGAUUCGGCGCUCUCACCGCCAUGGCCCGGGUUUGAUUUCCGGUCAGGGAA
rnacentral:tRNA from 1 species